GACGUCGAAUAUCGACGUCAUAAACACCAAAGUUGAUCGUGUUUAUGACGUCAAAUAUCGACGUCAUAAACACAAAGUUGAUAGUGUUUAUGACGUCGAAUAUCGACGUCAUAAACACCAAACUUGUUCGUGUUUAUGACGUCGAAUAUCGACGUCAUAAACACCAAACUUGAUCCUGUUUAUGACAUCAAAUAUCGACGUCAUAAACACCAAAGUUGAUCGUGUUUAUGACGUCGAAUAUCGACGUC
rnacentral:miRNA from 1 species